rnacentral:rRNA from 1 species
UACGUAGGGGGCGAGCGUUGUCCGGAAUCAUUGGGCGUAAAGAGCGUGUAGGCGGCCCGAUAAGUCCGCCGUGAAAGUCCAGGGCUCAACCCUGGGAUGCCGGUGGAAACUGUCGGGCUAGAGUCCGGAAGAGGCGAGUGGAAUUCCUGGUGUAGCGGUGAAAUGCGCAGAUAUCAGGAGGAACACCAAUGGCGAAGGCAGCUCGCUGGGACGGUACUGACGCUGAGACGCGAAAGCGUGGGGAGCAAACAGG